AUUGAACGCUGGCGGCAGGCCUAACACAUGCAAGUCGAACGAGCGGCGGACGGGUGAGUAAUGUAUGGGGAACUGCCCGAUAGCGGGGGAUAACUACUGGAACCGGUGGCUAAUACCGCAUACUAUCGGAUGUACCCAUAUGGGAUUAGCUAGGAGGUGGGGUAAAGGCUCACCUGGGCGACGAUCUCUAGCUGGUCUGAGAGGAGGAUCAGCCACACUGGAACGGAGAAACGGGCCAGACUCCUACGUGAGGCAGCAGUGGGGAAUAUUGCACAAUGGGCGCAAGCCUGAUGCAGCCAUGCCGCGUUUAUGAAGAAGGCCUUAGGGUUGUAAAGUACUUUCAGCGGGGAGGCGUUACCCGCAGAAGAAGCACCGGCUAACUCCGUGCCAGCAGCCGCGGUAAUAC
rnacentral:rRNA from 1 species